CUGUGUCUAUUUCAGUCGACUGAAAACAACUGUCACUGUUCCAGUUCCAUGCCACAUCCUCUUCAAACUUCACAUCUCUACUUAUGUAUAAUCUCUUAGUUGUAGGAUCAACCAUUCUGUAACCCUUUGUGCCUGAUUCAUAUCCUAGCAGAACCAUUUUAGUAGACCUGUCUGACAGCUUGUCGACUCCAGGACCUACCUUCUUGACAUGACCUAUGCAUCCAAAAGUUCUGAGAUGACCCACUUGUGGUUUACUGCCAUGCCAUGCCUCAUAUGGAGUUUUCCCUUGCACACUUCUUGGCAAUAUUAUAUAUGAGGAGGUACCUAGACCAUCUAAUCAGAUUCGUACACUAAUUAAUGCUAUUGGCUAUGUUAUUCCUUGGCCAAUUACACAUGUGAAGCAAGCUAGAAGCUCAUCUUGUACCCGCAACAAGUUGGUACCUGCAGCACGUGGACAAAGCUAGAUGGCGUGGACAAAGCUAGAUGGGAAGCCUAGUAUAAUUGCAAAGUGAAUCAGUUAGAUUCUAGUAGUUACUAAAAUUUUUAAGUGAUAUUUGUAUGAUAUUGCCACUUUGGCUUUGCUUCUUUGUGAACACAAUUGGCAGUUACUGAACAUGUUUGCUAUCGAGUUAGUUAGCUUCUUGAUAUUUUGCCAAGGCCAAAAGCAAUAUUAUUGAGGGUUUAUAA